rnacentral:lncRNA from 1 species
AAGUUUAUUUUGGACCCACCGAAGAAAUGGGACAAAGUUGUCCCACAUCUAAGAGUUAAUAAAGCUUUUUAACAUGUUUAAAAGCCUCAUAAUUGUUGAAUAUGUGCAUGUGUGAAGGUUGGUAGGGUGUACAAUUAGUUGGUGCGGUAUAUUUGACUGGUGGGCCCCAUAUGUAGAUGACCCACACGAAGGUUAUGUCACCUAAUCAGGUAUGAUUGGUUAUAGUGUACACCCUUUGUUUUUAAAAAAAUUUAAUUGCAUUUACAAAUGAAAAGUGUCAAAAAUGCACUUACCUAAAUUUUUCUAUUCAAACCGGUUCGGACAGCUUAACACAUUCGGCCAAUCUCUACUAGAACCAUCUAGUUUUGUUAGAGAUCUAACCGAUUCAAGAGAGAACUUAGAUAGUUCCCGAUAUAUUGAGAGAUCCAAAAAGGUGUGAGAGAUUUUCAAUUCAAAUCAGACAAUCCAGGUCGCUGAUGUCUACAUUCUUGUAUGGCUAACCAUAUACACAAAGAAUGCAUUUAUAUAAGCACAUUUCCUUUGCGUUUAUGUAAAAGGUGUUGUUUGCAUAAGGUUGCAACCCUAAACAAUAAAAAAACGGUACACCUCCAAACUUUGUCGUUUAUGCAAUUUUGGUAUAGAAAAUUAUUAAAAUGGUGCGAUAAAAUAUUCUUAUAUAUUUCAAACUUUGUCGUUCAUGCAAUUUUGGUAUAGAAAAUUAUUAAAAUGGUGCGAAAAUAUAUUCUUAUAUCUAAUUACAAAUUUUUAAACUUCAACAAUUGUAUGGUUCAAAUCAAGCAGACUUAUAAAUGCACGAAAAUCUAAA